CAAGGGCUUUGCGUGUUAUUUUAGAGGCAGAUCGCAAGCACAGCGCGUUGUGCUCGAAUUCGGUGAAAUGUAAGUAAUUUGAAUAGUGAAAUGAGUUAAAUCUCAGAAAUCUAAACAAGCCUGAAACGUUCAGAAGACGUGAAAAAAGAUUUUGGCAGAAAAAAGCGUCAAGUUCAUUUUGUGACUUCUUACUGUAACUGAGGAAUGGGUGUGAAGGUACUCCUGUGCUUCCCCUUCUACAGACGAUGCAAAGAACGAUGCAAGAACAGGCAGUGCCCUCGUGAAACAGAAUCCCCAGUGUCGAGUGAGGAGCGGAAGACCCGUCUCUCCUCCUCCACAUCCAUGAGCAGUGAGGGCGACAACAGCAGCAGCCUGGGAGGGCAGCGUGCAUUUUUUUCCCAGAAGGCCCGGGUCUCCCUCAGACACCAGAUCGACAGUAACAUUAAUGAAGUGGAUGCCACAUAUUAACUCUCACUGGUUGCCAAGCUCCUGAAAAUGAACUCUGACCCUGAGCUGUGAACUUUUGAGGACUGAAAAGUAGAGUUAGCAUUGAUGGAGGCUGUAGUGUUUAUGUUUUCACUGCUCAAGCACCACUGAAUCAUGUUUACACUGAAGGAGAGAUGUUUACAAGAUUUACAAAAAAAGUGCUGUCUGUGUUGACCUGUUUGUCCUGCUCACCUUCCUUGGUGUGGUAGGUCCCAUACUGUUGAGUUUUCUGUGGGCUGGUUUCCUGGAUUUGGAUUAAGCCUAGUCAUGGACAAAAAAGCAUUGGCACACAAUGAAAAUUCAUUUUAGUCUAGACUUAAUCUGGGGCUGGUAAACUGGCCCUGAAGGUCACAGAUAUCUGCAUAGUUUUGGUUAUUUUGUGCAAAUGAGUUAAUUCAUAACACUAGUAUUCACUUCAACUAUAAUAUAUUUAUAUUUCUUCCUUGUUGGGACAAAAUCUAACAAUGAAUUGUAAUUGCAGACAAAGAAGAGGUUGUACUCAUUUUUCCCCACUUUACAAAACAAUGUUUUUAAGCCUUCUUGA